rnacentral:rRNA from 1 species
GACGAACGCUGGCGGCGUGCUUAACACAUGCAAGUCGAACGGAAAGGCCCUGCUUUUGUGGGGUGCUCGAGUGGCGAACGGGUGUGUAACACGUGAGUAACCUGCCCUUGACUUUGGGAUAACUUCAGGAAACUGGGGCUAAUACCGGAUAGGAGCUCCUGCUGCAUGGUGGGGGUUGGAAAGUUUCGGCGGGUGGGGAUGGACUCGCGGCUUAUCAGCUUGUUGGUGGGGUAGUGGCUUACCAAGGCUUUGACGGGUAGCCGGCCUGAGAGGGUGACCGGCCACAUUGGGACUGAGAUACGGCCCAGACUCCUACGGGAGGCAGCAGUGGGGAAUAUUGCACAAUGGGCGGAAGCCUGAUGCAGCAACGCCGCGUGCGGGAUGACGGCCUUCGGGUUGUAAACCGCUUUCGCCUGUGACGAAGCGUGAGUGACGGUAAUGGGUAAAGAAGCACCGGCUAACUACGUG